rnacentral:rRNA from 1 species
AACGAACGCUGGCGGCAUGCCUAACACAUGCAAGUCGAACGAGACCUUCGGGUCUAGUGGCGCAUGGGUGCGUAACGCGUGGGAACCUGCCCUUAGGUUCGGAAUAACUCCCCGAAAGGGGUGCUAAUACCGGAUAAUGUCUUCGGACCAAAGAUUUAUCGCCUUUGGAUGGGCCUGCGUUGGAUUAGCUAGUUGGUAGGGUAAAAGCCUACCAAGGCGACGUUCCAUAGCUGGUCUGUGAGGAUGAUCAGGCACACUGGGACUGAGACACGGCCCAGACUCCUGCGGGAGGCAGCAGUGGGGAAUAUUGGGCAAUAGGCGAGAGCCUGAUCCAGCAAUGCCGCGUGAGUGAUGAAGGCCUUAGGGUUGUAAAGCUCUUUUACCCGGGAUGAUAAUGACAGUACCGGGAGAAUAAGCUCCGGCUAACUCCGUG